rnacentral:tRNA from 1 species
GAGGGUAUAGUUCAGUGGUAGAAUGCAUGCUUGGCUUGCAUGAGGUCCUGGUUCAAUCCCCAGUGCCUCCG